AGUACACUUAGAAAUAGGUGCUAAUACCGCAUAAGCGCACAGCUUCGCAUGAAGCGGUGUGAAAAACUCUGGUGGUAUACGAUGGUUCCGCGUCUGAUUAGCUAGUUGGUGGGGUAAUGGCCUACCAAGGCAACGAUCAGUAGCCGGCCUGAGAGGGUGAACGGCCACAUUGGGACUGAGACACGGCCCAAACUCCUACGGGAGGCAGCAG
rnacentral:rRNA from 1 species